rnacentral:lncRNA from 1 species
AAUACUAAAUUAAUAACCAAGUAAGUCUAAAACCUAAUGUAAGAGAUGCAUUAAUUAUAUAUGUUUACAUUUACAUACCUCGCCAGUAUUUUCUUCUUGUUGCACGACAAGUUGUUGCUCAGGGGCAUUGCCCUCUUGUUGCUAAGUAGGAUUGCCUUGCAUGAUCUCGUAGUAAUCAAUAAAGUACUGACUACCGUCGUCGAUUAUAUUUUGAAUGGCAUCUUCCAUAUAAUCAGGAUCAUCAUGAGCACGGUCAGCCAUUUCUAUGUCUGCAACCAUACAUAUAUAUAUUGCAUA